UGCGAAGCUGAGUGCAGACGUCCGAUCCCCGAUCCAUGGCUCCUUUUCUGGCACUUGAGAGAUGUGUGUGUGGUAGACGGUGGCUGUGCGUGGUGGAGAAGCAGGGCACGUGCAUUACCAUCCAAUGCCGCCGGGUGGGUGGGUGGAAUGGAUGGAUGGUUCUUGAUGUGCCCAUCUUCUCCACCGAGCACGAACUGUCUUGGAUCCGCGCGCGCGUGCCGUACAUACCUCGUCAUGCAGGAGUUCAGGUGCUGCCUAAUCCUCGGCGGCCCUCACCGCGCCACCGGCGUCUCGCGUCGUCGCUGCCGAUCGAUCGAUCGUCCAGCCCGCCGCCAGUUGAGUUCCGAACCCCGAUGCUUAUAGCCUCCCAUCCCUGGUUAGCAAGCAUCGUGUGUAUCUUGCAUCUCAGACUUGCUUCCUCUUCAUCAUUCAUUCAUUCAUACUCAAGCAUUAAUUAUUCAGGACCAAGCAAGCGGUAGAAUUCAAAUUCAAUUCGCACAACCCUUUGCUUGUCAGCUAGCUUACCUUGUGUAUUGGAUUUGAAUACAUGCUGGUAAUCCAUCUAAUAAGAAAGCGCUGUGUGGCGCUACCUGUCCGUAGUAUGGCCGCGCCGACUGUCUGUCGGCUGGCAUGGCAUGAUAUACAUUCUAGUUAUCUUGAACCAAAGGCGACUGUCCGUAGAGUUGCUUGCUCUUGCUUCAGCAGGUGGGAAUGGCGCCGUGCACUUGGGUUCGCCUGUCUCAGUUACCAGAGGAGCCUAAUCCCAUCGUCGCUCGUACGUCGCUCGGAUGUCGGCAUCAACGACCAGCGCGGCAGCCAGCAUGCACAGGCGCGCCGAGAAUGAUCAGGGGGAUGGCUCUGGGUGCGGAUGAAUGCUAGCUCCAUGUUCCGUCACUUUUUGUUUGUGCGGUUCUUCACUGACUUUGAGUCUAGUCUUGGCGUUCUAACUAAAGACCGUCAUGUUGCGAGUAUACAUGCAGGUGUUAGAGUAGCCGUUCCUCGUGCAUGCCUUGCAUAUUGCUCAUCAUAUUAAUAAUGAUCUGUCGUCACCCAUCUUCAUCUCAACUGUAGAAGAUGCGAGCUGAGAUCGGCCAUGGAUCCUGCAUAUUAUUCAUCCAGGGCCAAAUUUUCUUGUUCUCUGUGUGGGUUUCGUUUUUUUUUCAUGUGAAUGAAAUCCCUUAUUUCAUGAAGCAAGAUUUCUAUGAGAUU
rnacentral:lncRNA from 1 species